ACAUCCCCAAAAUCUCGGCCAGAAAAGACCGAUUUUCAUUUAUGCUUUUAAAAUAAUUUUAGAGUAAAUCCUUUUGAUUUGAAAGAGUUGCGGAAUUUGUUCCCAAAAACAAAACAUGAUAAAACAAUGUUUACCAAAGCAUUUCAUAAAAGAAAUGUAUUUUCAUUAUAUAAUCAAAACUCGGGGUGUCAUGUUCCGAUACAGACCAAUAAGCAUAAACGAUAACAUUACAAGUCAUUCAACAAAUAUAUACAUAUACAGACUUGUAAACAAAACAACUUGAUGGUUCGUCCAUCUUAUGCCCUCACGCCACUUCCUGUAAUACAAAUAAAACUGAGUGGGUCAGGCUUGGGAGCCUGGUGAGCAUAUAGGGUUUUCAACCCACAAUAAAUAAUAUAUUUAAUUUUUCACCAACCAACAAGAACCCAAUUACCCAUUCCCGUUAUUCUCACUUUAUGUCCCUAAGACAACUAACAUAAGGGACCUAGUCUAAGAAUAUUUCAUCGGGGCGACAACACAUGCUUCGGGGGUACCUCAGCAAUAUAAGUCAAAUAAGGCAACCAUGAGGGGGAUGGAGUGCAGCGAAUGAACACCCAAGUUCAUUAACACCUACAGGUGGCGAACCUGCUAAUGUUUCCACAAGACUAUCUAGAAAAGUAUGUGGUCGUCAUCUAAACUCCGCUAGAUGACUAAAUCAAACAACAACGAGGCCUCUCAUCUGUUUAUUACACACCAACUAUCUACCCAUGUUCUACCCAACAUAUUAGUAGAUAAAAAUAUACAUUUUUAUACAUAGUUUAAAAACCUGUAUAGCAUGCUUUAAUCAAUACAUAUUCCACAUAACAGAUGAGGCACACACACACAUAACACGUAUUUCAUAGAGAAUAAAUCAUAUCUAUGAGAUAGAAGAAAGUGAAUACACAUUCACACAUAUAAACAACAAUAUACUUAAUACACUCAAACCAUACUUGUAUUAUUAUCGUGUUUAUGAAAGGUAGUAUACACUCACUUGAUCAGAAGAUGAUCGGACAGCACUACGACUUGCAGAAGUAGUAAUCCUCAGCAGAUCUGGAAGAUCUCUUCAAAAAUCGAACUUCUCGCGGGCAGAGCUUCGGCUCGGGAACCGCACUUCUCGGGAUCUUCGGGAUCUCGGGACUUGCCUCGGGGCUCGAGAAUAAUACCGGGGCUUCGGGGUAUUUCUGGCACGCAAAUCGAUGCAAAACGGGAGAGAGAAGAGAGAAAAUAGCAAAAGAACUCGGCUGCCCUCGCAUCCUAUUUAUAGGAGGCUGGAGCCUCGGAGUACGCGGGGCGUACUGCUCCGAAAUCGUCACUGCUUACGUAUCCGAAGUGCUCGAGUGCGAGUGUCGACAUUCCUCGGUGUACGCGGGGCGUACUUCGGAUGAGUCCGAUGACUCCUCUUCGGAUAAUGCCGGAUUUUCCAAUUAAAUUUAAAUACAAAUUAUUUAAUAAACUUCGGAAAUUCAUAUCUUCUUCAUACGAACUCCGUUUUCGACGUUCUUUAUAUCCACGCGAAGGUGAGACUACGCUCUACAACUUUCGUUUAGACUCCGUCGGCUAAUUUUGACUUUAUUUUUAUUAUUUAUUUUUAAUAGGCCGGGACAGAAACACUUCGUUAUAAAUUCAUAACUUCUUCGUUUGACGUCCGUUCUCGCCUAACUUUUUAUCGCUUCGAUACCAACAACGAGAUCUUCGAUUCUCGUUUAGAUUGCUUCGGCUAAAAACCGCUCGAUCUCAAAUCGAGUAUUUCAGGCUGCAUACCGCUAAGCCGAAACUUCGAUAAAUCAUAACUUCCUCAUACGAAGUCAGAUUUGGGCGUUCUAUAUAUAUUCGGAAACCUCGUUUCAACUACUACAACAUUAUCCAAAGAUAUCAAGUUUAUUUUACACUUAAAUUUUGACGCUUAUUUUUAUUCUUAAUUAAUCAAACCACAUAAUUAAGCAAUUAAGCACAAAACACAUAAUACUCAAAUAAUACAAUCUUAUUAUUUCAAAACGGGUUACAAAGGUUAACCUAGACUAUUACAUUGCUAAAAAUGGCAAGCCCGGAAACACAGGCGUUACAAUUCUCUCCACCUUAGAAUGAUUCCGUCCCCGGAAUCACACAUCAACAAACAAAUGCGGAUAGCGACUCAACAUGUCACUCUCCGUCUCCCAGGUGAGAUUCGGCCCAUUCGUGUGUUUCCAUCGGACAAGCACUAACCCAACCAUUUUGCGUCGCAACUUCUUAGUCUUUCGGUCAACAAUUGCCUCUGGUUCUUCAAUCAACCUUUUGUUCUCAUCAAUUCUCAAUUCAGAAAUUGGAAUUAUAUCGGGAACUUCUCCCGUGAACUUCCUCAAAUAACACACAUGAAAAGUGUUGUGAAUUCCAUUCAGUUCUUCGGGUAAUUCGAGCUUGUAAGCUUGGUUCCCAAUCCUCUGAAGAACUUUAAACGGUCCAAUAAACCUUGGACUCAACUUUCCCCUUUUACCAAAUCUUAUAAGUCCCUUCCACGGCGAGACUUUAAGCAAAACCGAAUCUCCAACCUCAAAAGUCAUCGGUCUUCGCUUCUUGUCAGCAUAGCUCUUUUGACGAUCUUGAGCUGCUAACAUUCUUUCCCUAAUUAUUUUCAACUUUUCAGCAGUUUGAUGAACCAUCUCCGGUCCCAUAAACUGCUUUUCCCCAGCCUCAAGCCAACAAGACGGCGUACGACACUUCUGUCCAUACAAAGCUUGAUAAGGUGCCAUCUUAAUGCUCGAGUGAAAACUAUUAUUAUAGGAAAAUUCUACCAACGGUAAAUGUUCAUCCCAAUUACCUAGGAAUUCCAAGGUACAUGCUCUCAGCAUAUCUUCAAGUGUUUGUAUUGUUCUUUCACUCUGACCAUCAGUCUGCGGAUGGUAAGCUGUGCUUAAACAUAACUUGGUACCCAUUUCCUCUUGUAGACUUUUCCAAAACCUUGAGGUGAAACGGCUAUCACGAUCCGAUACAAUCGUUAACGGAACACCGUGAAGCCUCACAAUUUCCUUCACGUAAGAAUUCGCAAGCUUUUCCAUAGACCAUUUCUCCCUGGCCGCUAUGAAAUGCGCACUCUUAGUGAAUCGAUCAACGACCACCCAAAUCAUGUCGUGACCAUUCUUUGUUCUGGGCAGUUUAGUGACAAAAUCCAUAGCAAUGUCUUCCCACUUACCCAUAGGCACAGGCAAAGGUUCUAAACUCCCGUACGGUUUCUGAUGUUGUGUCUUGACUCUCGCACAAGUCACACACUCGGCCACAUACUUUGCAACAUCAAGCUUCAUCGUCGGCCACCAGUAGUAGGGUUUCAGGUCCCUAUACAUUUUAGUGCUACCCGGAUGAAUCGAGUACAUGGUCUUGUGAGCUUCUUCCAUCAGAAGAUCUCUAAUUCCUCCUGACUUAGGUACCCAAAUACGAUCUUGGAAUACCUUCAGUCCAUGACCGUUAGUACCAAACACCAACGUUUUACCCAAACGUUCCUCCUUUCGGUCAUUUUUCUCAGAAGCUUCCUCUUGAGCUUUCUUUAUACUUUCCACAAUGGUCGAGACAACUUCAAUUCUCAACGCUCUUGGCCUCUUCCUUUCAAGAUUGACCUUCCGACUGAGAGCAUCAGCAACAACAUUAGCUUUACCGGGGUGGUAAAGUAUCUCGCAGUCGUAGUCUUUAAGUAAUUCUAGCCAGCGUCGUUGCCUCAUAUUCAAUUCUUUCUGAUUAAAGAGGUAUUGGAGACUCUUAUGAUCAGUGAAAAGUUUGCACUUCGUGCCAUAGAGGUAAUGCCUCCAUAUUUUCAGAGCGAAAACUACCGCUGCCAACUCCAAAUCAUGAGUCGGGUAAUUCUUUUCAUGCUCUUUCAGUUGUCGAGACGCAUAUGCUAUCACCUUUUCUCUUUGGGUUAAAACACAACCCAAUCCUACACCAGACGCAUCGCUAUAAACAACAAAGUCUUCAAUUCCACCGGGUAGAGAAAGUAUCGGUGCCUCGCAAAGCUUCUUCUUUAGAUUCUCGAAUGCUUCUUUAUGCUUAUCACUCCAAGCAUAAGUAGCUCCUUUGUGGGUCAAAGCUGUUAAUGGAGUAGCAAUCGAAGAAAAGCCUUGGAUAAACCUUCGGUAAUAUCCGGCUAAUCCUAAAAAGCUUCGAAUCUCCGUGGGACUUUUCGGUUGUUCCCACUUCGUCACAGCUUCGAUCUUCGCUGGAUCAACCAUUAUCCCUUCUUGGUUGACCACGUGACCCAAGAAUUGGACCUCACGAAUCCAAAAAUCACAUUUGGAGAACUUCGCAUAAAGCUUCUCCUUCUUCAAAACUUCUAACACUUCUCGCAAGUGUCUGCCAUGCUCCUCCUGGCUUUUCGAGUAGAUCAGAAUGUCGUCUAUGAACACUAUCACGGAUUUAUCAAGGAAAGGAUUACAAACCCUAUUCAUCAAAUCCAUGAACGCUGCUGGAGCAUUGGUUAGUCCAAACGACAUAACCAAGAACUCGUAGUGUCCAUAUCUAGUUCUGAAUGCAGUCUUCUCGAUAUCUUGCUCUCUUACUUUCAGCUGAUGAUAUCCUGACCUAAGAUCGAUCUUCGAGAAAUAGCUCGAACCUUGCAAUUGAUCAAACAGGUCAUCAAUCCUCGGCAACGGAUAUCUAUUCUUUAUUGUUGCCUUGUUCAGCUCUCUGUAAUCGAUGCACAUUCUCAUACUUCCAUCUUUCUUCUUUACAAAUAACACCGGAGCUCCCCAGGGCGAUGAACUAGGUCUAAUGAAACCUUUGUCCAAUAACUCCUGAAGUUGCAUCAUCAGCUCCUUCAUCUCCGUCGGUGCUAAUCGAUAAGGUGCUUUUGCUAUUGGCGUGGUUCCUGGUAACAAGUCUAUUCUGAACUCCACUUGUCUAUCAGGUGGUAAUCCAGGAAGAUCCUCGGGAAAUACUUCCGGAUAAUCACACACCACUGGAAUGCUCUGCAUCACCUUCUUUUCUUUCUUAGCAUCAAUCACGAAUGCUAAAUAUGAUGUACAUCCCUUGGUCAAACACUUUCUGGCUUUCAUUAGAGAAAUGAUUCCAGAAUUCACUCUGCGUUUGUCCCCAUACACCAUAAACGAAUCUUUCCCAGGCGGGUUUACUUUAACUAUCUUCUUCUUGCACAAAAUUUCGGCAUCAUUGGCGCUAAGCCAAUCCAUUCCCAAGACGAUGUCGAAACCAUUUAGUUCGAUAGGCAAUAAUUCCUCGAGAAACUUAUUCCCAUUAAGGUCGAUCAAGACGUUUUUCAUACGAUGGCUAACAGGUACAAACUUGCCACUAGCUACUUCGACUAAUAAAGCAUUAUCUAGUCUAUCAACAGGCAAAGCUAGCUUUCUACCAAACUCAUGCGAAAUAAAGGAGUAGUUGGCUCCAGAAUCAAACAAUAUAUGAGCAGGUAAUUCGUUUACGAGAAAGGUACCUGAAGCGACAUCAGCUUCAUCUUUCGCAGCCUCAAGUGUCAUCUGGAAGGCUCUCGCCUUCGGCUUUGGUGGAAUGUUGGGCCUAGCUGCCUCCUUCUUCUUCGGACAGUCUUUCAAAAUAUGCCCCUCUUCAUUACACCCAAAACACAUCCUUUUGUUGUUCGGACAUUCAUUGGCAAAAUGUCCAACCUUUCCACACUUGUAGCAGGUCACAUCCUCGCUACAUUUCCCAAAGUGCUUUUUCUUACACUUAUCACACCACUUUGCUUCGCCUCCUUUUCCUCCAAACUUUUUCGAAUCAGAUUUCGAAAAUUUGCUCUUCUUACUGGAACCAGAUGUUCCUUCAAACUUCCUUUUCUCACCAACCUCAACCUUGACGGUGGUUCUCCCCUUGAUCAUGUUCUCCACAGACUUGGCAGCCCAGAUAGCUGCCUCUAGAGUAAGUGCCUGACGUACCGGCACCUCGUACUCCCAUGGAAGUCCCUUCGCAUACCGAUCCACCUUUGUCAGCUCGUCUGGAACGAUACGCAAGGCAAACUCCAUCUUAUCGGUGAAGUUAUUGGUGUACUCAUCCACUGACAUGCUACCCUUCGUCAAUGUCAAAAACUUGUUCUCCAACUCCAACAGAUUUUGAGCCGAGCAGAACUUGCGCUUGAACUGCACCAAGAACUCUGCCCAUGACAAUUGCAGUGGCUCAUUAGGGCUUAAGGUCUUCCCUAGAGUGUUCCACCAACGAACGGCUCCACCUCGGAAUUGUCGCACGGCAUAGAUAGUCUGCAACUUGCCUCUACAGCCACAUGUCAUAAAGGCUAACUCCAUUUCGGAGAUCCAAUCCAUAACCCCAAUCGGAUCCUCCUUUCCAUUGAAGGUCGAUGGUUUACAAGUCAAAAAGUCCUUGUACUUGCAUCCCAUUCCAUCAUUCCUUCCAUCAUGGUUAUCUUGCCUAACUAUCGGUGGGUUGGCUGGACCAACAGACCCACUGAAGUUUCCACCUUCCGAGUGCCCUUCAUUCAGUUCAGGCUCUUCCACACGAAUCGACAGUUCUUCACGAUUUUGUUGAAGCAACCGUCUAGUUUCAUCCAUCUGACGAUCCAACAUCGUCUGAAUCAUCAAUUGCACACCAGCCAUGGUUAUUGGCUCAGGUGCUGCUGCUACGACAGGUAUUGGCUCAAUCACUGGUGGUUGAUUCCUGUUUUCGUCAGCAUUUCCAACUCCACUUCUUGUUCUCACCAUUUUGAUCUACACCGAAUAAGGUGAAAUUAGAUCCUCAAUCAUGAUAGAUAUUCAAAUCAUCCUUAUCACUCCGAAACGUUUACAUGCUAGUUCUAAUAUCGUAGACGUACGCUUAGAAUCCUACACACAUAAGGUUUCUAGAUCCGGUCGGCAACAGACCAUAGAUCCGAACAAAUAAUAUCAUAUAUGGCAACAUAUAACAUUUAGCACAUAAAGCAUUUUAGGCAACUUUCCUAAAAUAAACUAGUGCUCGUGUCUAAAUCACAACAGACACACAUCUCAAAACUUCACUUAGCAUUCUAAGUUUAAGUCUAGAAAUCCUACAAAUUCCUAGUUCGCUUAAACUAAUGCUCUGAUACCAACUGUGACAUCCCCAAAAUCUCGGCCAGAAAAGACCGAUUUUCAUUUAUGCUUUUAAAUAUUUUCAGAGUAAAUCCUUUUGAUUUGAAAGAGUUGCGGAAUUUGUUCCCAAAAACAAAACAUGAUAAAACAUUGUUUACCGAAGCAUUUCAUAAAAGAAAUGUAUUUUCAUUAUAAUCAAAACUCGGGGUGUCAUGUUCCGAUACAGACCAAUAAGCAUAAACGAAUACAUUACAAGUCAUAUAACAAAUAUAAACAUAUGCAGACUUGUAAACAAAACAACUUGAUGGUUCAUCCAUCUCAUGCCCUUCCGCCACUACCUGUAAUACAAUUUAAAACUGAGUGGGUCAGGCUUGGGAGCCUGGUGAGCAUAUAGGGUUUUCAACCCACAAUAAAUAUCAUAUUUAAUUUUCACCAACCAACAAUAACCCAAUUACCCAUUCCCGUUAUUCUCACUUUAAUGUCCCUAAAACAACUAACAUAAGGGACCUAGUCUAAGAAUAUUUCAUCGGGGCGACAACACAUGCUUCGGGGGUACCUCAGCAAUAUAAGUCAAAUAAGGCAACCAUGAGGGGGAUGGAGUACAGCGAAUGAACACCCAAGUUCAUUAACACCUACAGGUGGCGAACCUGCUAAUGUUUCCACAAGACUAUCUAGAAAAGUAUGUGGUCGUCAUCUAAACUCCGCUAGAUGACUAAAUCAAACAACAACGAGGCCUCUCAUCUGUUUAUUACACACCAACUAUCUACCCAUGUUCUACCCAACAUAUUAGUAGAUAAAAAUUAUACAAUUUGUAUACAUAGUUUAAAAACCUGUAUAGCAUGCUUUAAUCAACACAUAUUUCACAUAACAGAUGAGGCACACACACACAUAACACAUAUCUCAUAGAGAAUAAAUCAUAUCUAUGAGUUAGAAGAAAGUGAAUACACAUUCACACAUAUAAACAACAAUAUACUUAAUACACUCAAACCAUACUUGUAUUAUUAUCGUGUUUAUGAAAGGUAGUAUACACUCACUUGAUCAGAAGAUGAUCGGACAGCACUACGACUUGCAGAAGUAGUAAUCCUCAGCAGAUCUGAAAGAUCUUCACAAAAAUCAAACUUCUCGCGGGCAGAGCUUCGGCUCAGGAACCGCACUUCUCGUGAUCUUCGGGAUCUCGGGACUUGCCUCGGGGCUUGGGAACAAUACCGGG
rnacentral:lncRNA from 1 species